rnacentral:rRNA from 1 species
UACGUAGGAGACGAGCGUUGUCCGGAGUUACUGGGCGUAAAGGGCGCGCAGGCGGCCUGCCAUGUGUGCGGUGAAAGCUCCUGGCUUAACUAGGAGAGGUCCGUGCAAACGGGUGGGCUUGAGCGUCGGAGAGGGGCAUGGAAUUCCGGGGUGGAGCGGUGAAAUGCGUAGAGAUCCGGAGGAACACCAAGGCGAAGGCAGUGCCCCUGGCCCGACGGCUACGCUCAGGGCGCGAAAAGCGUGGGGGGAGCAAAACAGGG